rnacentral:rRNA from 1 species
AGUGAACGCUGGCGGUAGGCCUAACACAUGCAAGUCGAACGGCAGCACAGUAAGAGCUUGCUCUUACGGGUGGCGGGUGGCGGACGGGUGAGGAAUACAUCGGAAUCUACUUUUUCGUGGGGGAUAACGUAGGGAAACUUACGCUAAUACCGCAUACGACCUACGGGUGAAAGCAGGGGAUCCUCGGACCUUGCGCGAUUGAAUGAGCCGAUGUCGGAUUAGCUAGUUGGCGGGGUAAAGGCCCACCAAGGCGACGAUCCGUAGCUGGUCUGAGAGGAUGAUCAGCCACACUGGAACUGAGACACGGUCCAGACUCCUACGGGAGGCAGCAGUGGGGAAUAUUGGACAAUGGGCGCAAGCCUGAUCCAGCCAUACCGCGUGGGUGAAGAAGGCCUUCGGGUUGUAAAGCCCUUUUGUUGGGAAAGAAAAGCAGCAGGUUAAUACCCCGCUGUUCUGACGGUACCCAAAGAAUAAGCACCGGCUAACUUCGUG